AUGCCGCUCGCCUUUCCACCUGCCUCAGGCGCGCCGCUCACAUGUCAUCCUCCCCCGCCCCGCCCCUCCCCCGCCGCCCCCGCCCGCCCCGCGGCCGCCUUCCCAAAUCGGGAGGGAGCGGGCGGGCGGGCGCGGCGAGGCGGAGGGGGGCGCGCGGGGCCGGCGGCGGGGCUGGUCCCCCGGGCGCGCGGGCCGCCCAGUCGGUGCCGGGACCCGACCGCGUGGCGGCGGCGGCCCCCGGGGGCUGGCCGCGUGCAGGGGCGUGCGCGGCUGCGGGGGCGGCGGGCGGCGGGCGGGGGCGGGACGCGCGGCGCGGGGUGGGGAGCCGCGGCCGGGCCUCGGGCCGUGGGGCUCAGGUGUGAGCGGCCGCCGAGGCGCGCGCCCCGAGUGUGCGGCCGUGGGUGCGCGGCGACGGGAUGGCGGUGCGUGCAGGUGUGUGGCGUGGGCGCCGUGUGCGUAGGUGUGAAGGUGCGUGUGCGCCGUCCAGGCCCCGCUAGGCGGUGGUGGCGGUGGGAGGCACGAGGUGUGCCCCGUCGGGCGGUGUCCAGAGUGCGCCGGGCGCGCGUGUACCUGUGCGGGCGCCGCGUGUGGCUCGGUGAGCCGCUCCUACCUGGAAGGCCUGUGGCCAGGCGCCGCCCAGCCGUGUCACGGCGUGUCGCACGGUGGCCCCCGGGCGUGAGCGCUCUUCCUCCCACGCACCCCCACGUCCGAGCUUCCCCCCUCCACGCUGGGGGCGGAGCCCCCAGGGUGGCCACCCCACCCGAAGAAGGGCGUCCCCGGAACCAGCGGCCUGCUCCCCGCCAGCCCAGGGGGACCGGCUCCCCCGCCUCCGGGGUCGGGGUGGGGUCGGGGUCGGGGUCGGGGCACGUGGUGCGCGGAGGUGAGCUCCGAACCCGCGCGGCGGGCUGCACAGCCGUCUCCCCAGGGGCCCCCGCCCGAUCCCACCGCAGAACGGGAGACGCUUUCCCACGCACUGGCUCUGCAGCUGGAAAGUUCUGGGCGCCUGACCUCCUCUCGCCAGCAGUAGGGGGCAGCCCUCUCGUUCCCUUCGGCCCGCCGGCCCGCGCGCAGAGGCGCUCUGGGUUCCCCGAUGCCCCCUCCCUCUUCCCCGGACGGCAGCUGGGGCCACACCGGCCGCUCGCUGCGCAGGCCCGGCCCCGGGGCCAAGGCUUCGGCAGCCGACUCUUCCCGUCCCUCCGGGCGACUCUCGGGGGACCGAGCCGAGCGGGGGGGCGGGGCGGGGGGCGGGAAGGCGAGCUCGAUUCUCAGCUGUCAGCAAAGGAGGCAUUGAUCCGCCGGGCGCCCGUGGGGGAGGGGGGAGGGCGGGCGGCGGGGCGGGGGCUGCAGGGCCCCGGGGGCUCCCCGAGCUCAGCCAGGCAGCUGGCCCACACCCCUACCCCGACAGGGGCCCUCGUCCCUCGGCAUAACAAGGGGUGCCUUCUGGGGUCUGACCUGAAUCCUCCCUGCUGCUCCCGGCGCCAGCCCGGGGCCUCUGGGCAGGUUAUGCCCGGACCUCACCGGUAG
rnacentral:lncRNA from 1 species